UAUUACAGCCUUAGAGCGCCAUCAACUUAGGGGCCGUUUGGUUGGAUGUAGUUGCAGAAACAGUGCAGUUGGAAAUACAUGUAGUUGCAAAUGCUGCAGUUAUAACUACACCUAGUCUGUUUGGUUUUACGCAGUUACAACUGCUGCAGUUACAUUUCUUCUGUUUGGUAAUAUGAAGCUGAUAGUUGUAUUUAUAAAUUUUGUCACCUCUUCAGUGGUGAGGUUACCUUCACUAAAUAUAAAAUAAUUGUAUAAAUUUAUUAAUUAUUUAAAUUUACUAUUUAUAAAUAAAUAAGUAGAUAUAUAUAAUAUUUUUAUAUUUUUCAAUAAUUCUUCAACUUAUUAAUCGACACAUUUAAAAUUUUUAAUUUAUUUAAUUUUAAUAUGUAAAUCAAACUUUAAAAAUUUAAACGAUUCUCUCAUUUUUUUUUUAUCAAAUUUAAUAAUUAUAAUUAAUUAAAACUUAUUAAAUUAACAUACACGAUCACAUUCUAUAAAA
rnacentral:lncRNA from 1 species